GCGAGUCACCUGCGAGUGACGUACUUCCGUUUGGGAGGGCAUUUACACCUGGUCUUUUUACGAUCGGAUAGCUAUCGGAUCACAGAAAACGCAUGAAGUGACCAGGUGUAAAAACCCCCUAAGAGAAUGCUCCUUGCGAAAGCGGUGUCUAAAGCUCUGUGUGAAAUCAUGCCAAUCUAUUGGCUAAGGAGGUCAUGUGACAAAGCAGUGCACGCUAGCAAGACUGUAAAAGGACAACUACUGUACAUCACAUUACUCCGGCUUCUUUGUCUUCAGGAAGUGCUCUGUGUAUGUUGGUGUAAAUUGUCUGUCUCAUUGUCUAAGAAUAAGAAAGAAGAUAGAAAAGGACUAGGGUGUUUUUUUCUUUAUCAUGGCAAGCUGAUUGUGUGAAUUGUGAGCGAUUGCUCUUCGCAAUCUCAACUUUGGCUGCAUUACAGGCUAAGUUCUGUGUCUGUCAAGACAGUGCGUCAGCUUCGGUCAUGGAGGUCGCAGGUUGAGUUAGUGGAAAUGGAACGAGAGACUGUGAGUCUUUUUUUUGUGCUCACUGCUGACUCUAAUGUCUCCGCUUCAACUCCUGGAGCUAACUUUGCAAUUUUGUCCAACCCGAAGGGGGAAUUAUUAUCGUUUGCAUCGGACACUAAGGAACUUGAUGUGGACAAUGAUGGGGCAAUCACUGAAACAGCCAGUGGUUUUCAUGCUGUUGAUUAUUAAAAAAAAAUGGAGGGAUGUGGUACCCUAGUGGUUAAUGUGCUGGUCUGCCAAUCAGAAGGUUGUGAUUUUGAAUCCCAGGUCCACCAAGCUGCCACUGCUGGGCCCCUGAGCAAGGCUCUUAACCCACAAUUGCUCAGUUGUAUAAAAUGAGACAUAGGUUGCUCUGGAUGAAUGUACAUUUUAAAAAAUUGUGUAUUGUUGCUAAGCUCAAUUCACACUUGUCUGGCUAUUCCAGCCAAGCCCCUAACUCCUUCACGUCAGCUCCUGGAGGUAGUUUUGCAAUAUCUCCUGAACCGAAUGUGGAAUUAUUAUUUACUGCAUCGGAUUCUGAGGAGCUCGAUGUGGGCAAUGAGGAGCAAGCAGCAGUUGAACAGGUCCGAACACUGAUUUGCGACAAUAAUCCUGAAGGUUGCCUAUCUUCACAUAGGUGUCUCGCCUGCUCUGGCAUCAUUGCAUCCCAGGGCAUCCAUGUACUCAAUUAUCCAAACGACUGGCUCAAUCGAGGGAUGUGGCAGCCAUGUAUUGAGAUGCUAGGCUUGCCCACAUGAGGUCCCUAUGCCUAAGGCUCAACCCAGAAAUGUGUUUGCUUUCUCCUUCUCAUAGAACCACCUUCUUUGGGAUAGUUUGGGAUUCAGCCAUGAUGUGGGCAUGUCUGUCUCCCACAUGGGGAUUCCAUCUUUUCUGUCAUAAAGGACAUCCGGCUAGGCUAAUGCCUCUCUGCCGUGCAGAGGUUGCUCGGCUCAUGGUGGUAUAGCCCAAAUAUAUUUCUUUGGGUCUGCUACAUAUGAGACCAUUUCAACUCAGGCUUCAUAUCCUACUUAUGUGGAUAGACGCCGGUUCUCACCUUGCGUCACACACUUAGGGCGUCAUCGUCGCAUUGCUCAUCCAAAGGACUCCCUCUAGGGGUGGGGAACGGUCUCCUGUCUUUCAUGGCACACAGACUGCCUAAAGAUGGGGGCUGUGAUUCUACUACUGAAGCACUUCUUAAUUAAACUCAGGGGCUACACCAGAUUUUGCCAUAGGUAGAGACUAGAUUUCUCUUGCUGAGAACGAUUUAAAUUCCAGAGUGUAUGAUCAGGGAGCAAGCUUCUGCUGAGGCAGGGGCUGAGGCCCGGAGAAUGGCUUCUCCAGCUGUGGGUGGUAGAAUGCCUGCUGCAAUUUUUGCCGUGCCCUUUCAUGACCUCAGACAUCUUCCUGGGUUUUGGCCUUCCCAUAACUUCAGCCAUGACCCCGCAUCGAGUUCCCUUGAAAGAAAACUACACCAGGUUACGUAUGUAACCCGGGUCCCUGAGAGGGAAAUGAGAAGACAUGUCACUGGCCACACUCCGGCUCUGCAUUGAUCCUGUACACUUCAGAAGGAUCCUCUUUAUAACCAGAGUGUCAAUUCUCCUCAUUGUGUCUUUAACCACUUCUGGGAGUUAUUUCCAGGAGGCUCAUUUUUAAAAAAGCUGAUGACUUCUGUUGACACAACUAACAGUAUCCAGUGGCGACUACAGUAGAUGUGGGUGUGUUCAGCAAUGCAACAAAGUAAAACAAAGAAAAGGUUAACUCCAUACAAAUAUAAAGCAACAUGUUGCAGCAAACACCAAUGGGAGUGAAGACAGUAGAGCGCAUGUUAUCCGUGCAAAAAGGGACGAUAUGCAUCUAUACACUGCUGAAUUUUAUAUACUGACACCAAAUCUCACACCUGAGUGUUUAAUUUUAUCAGUUAGAAAACUGAUUUGUAAUACUACUUGUGCCACCCACUGAUAAAUGUUAUUCCCAUGGCAACCAGUAGCACGAACGUCCACUGGCAACUUCAUAGUACAGCACCUGGUGAUUUGCAGUGAUAAAAUAGGUGUAUGUAUCGGUAUGAUAAAGUAUUUACUCUAUCCGAGGUUUUUGUUUGUUUUCAUUUAAUUUAAUGGUGUGAGAAGCCUCGGCAUUUGCAUAACACAGUUUUUUACAGCUAAAAAAUUCACAAAAGCUUUUAUAUAUACAUUAUAUAUACAAGAUUCUCGCACAGAAAUUAGUAGCUAUGAUUUAAUUAAAUCAAUAUAUUGUUAAAGGAUCUAUGGCUAUACAUUCUUUCCUUAAUUCAUGUUUAAUUGUCUCAAUUUAUGCCAUUUUAUUAUAAAGAUUGUGUAUAAAGAUUGUGUAUAAAGUUUUGUGCUCAUUUCAGCGGUGAACAGAGAAUGAGUUAUGAGGAGAUUGGGGAUUGUAGUGACUUCUCUUGGAGGCUGGUUUCACAUGGUGGCUUGGAGUGUUUCUGUAACUCAUCUAGCACCAUUUGAAAUCAGUGUUCUUGGGGUAGCAGAAACAUCUUCCUGUUUGAAGAAUUCUACAAUUGCCAGAUUUUAUCCCAUAGUCCUGUGUCUUUAGGUAGCACCAGAGUUCUGAAGGAAGUCCCCCGUCCCCCCAUCAGCCGUGUAUUGACUUGACAUAACUGAUGGAUGAAUAUCAGUCUACUGUCUUUUGUAUGAAACACAUUACACUUUACAGUAUAAUAGUAGUAGUAAUUUAAUUCUGCUUACUUGCUGGCAGUGCUUGGUUAUAAGUUACAACCAGAUGUUUAUUUGUAUACAGCUGUGUGACAUCAUAAAAUCUCAAUUUUUUAUUACAAUAUUAAGGUUAAGAUAAGAAGUAUGAGAUUAAAUAUACACAUCACAGCUUAUUACACACAUCUGAUCCUCACAGACUACAAUUUUCUCUGAAUUUCAAUAACAGGAGACUUAUUGCAAUACUGAUUAAAUGUUACUUUUUUUUUUACUUUUGAAAAAACGUUGUCUAAAGAUGUGCAAUAAAUUCAAAAGUGAUGUUUCUGG